ACAGAGCUCCCUGGGCCACCGCAGAGGACAGCGGCAGGCCUUCUCCUCUCCCCGCACCCACACCCGGAGGAACCCCCGCACCCAGAGAAAUGUCAACGUGAAACACUCUCCCGCAAGCGCGUCAGAGUCCUCCCUGCCAUGCCAAGCUCCUGCUUUGUGGGACCCCCCUCGCUCCGCCUGGGCAAGACCCCAAAUCUUUUAAGUGUCCUUCAGGGAUUCAACAUGCCUCCCAACAGCCCGGGCAGAGGCUGGACAAGUCAGAGGCAUCCCGGGGAACAAGAACCUUCAGAAGCCCCCGCAGGGUGCAAGGAACGACGGACUUGGGAAGCAGAUCUCUGCCACUAAGUGCGCCUCGGGCUCCUCACCCUCCGAGGUGAGACAGGGGCUUUCGGGCCAUUUCUCCGCUCACUGAAGCCCUAACGUGCUGUUUCUGGGCAAACGUCUCACAAAAGCAAGCCCUUAAAAUGCUACAAGCGCCCGCUGGAAAACUCUACCUCCAUCUUGCUUGUUUGCCAUUUACGAGUCAAUGGGAACAUCAACAAGAUUUCUUUGUGCUACGGGUAUACUGACCCCAAAACAAAUGAUAAAUUUUAAUUAACUCAAUCAAAUGCAAUUAACAAAUCUGA